GUCAAGAAUCUUCCCCAAUGGACGAAAGUCUGAGGGAGCGACGCCGCGUGACCGAAGAAGCCCUUCGGGGUGUAAAGGUCUUUUCUCAAGGACGAACUAAUGACGGUACUUGAGGAAUAAGGGGCUGCUAAACUCGUGCCAGCAGCAGCGGUAAUACGAGUGCCCCGAGCGUUAUCCGGAUUUAUUGGGCGUAAAGCGUUCGUAGCCGUCCUGGAAAGUCUCUCGUCAAAUCUUGUAGCUUAACUGCAAGACCGCGGGAGAAACUAUCAGGAUCGAGACUGGGAGAGGCAAGUGGAAUUGCCGGUGUAACGGUCAAAUGUGUUAAUAUCGGCAAGAACACCAAAUGUGAAAGCAUCUUGCUAGAACAGUUCUGACGGUGAGGAACGAAAGCGUGGGGAGCGAAUGGGAUUAGAAACCCGGGUAGUCC
rnacentral:rRNA from 1 species